AGAGUUUGAUCAUGGCUCAGGAUGAACGCUAGCGGGAGGCCUAACACAUGCAAGUCGAACGAGAAUCGGAGCUUGCUCCGAGGAUAGUGGCGCACGGGUGCGUAACGCGUAUGCAACCUACCUUUUACUGGGGGAUAGCUCCGAGAAAUCGGGAUUAAUACCUCAUAAUAAGUUUUACCGGCAUCGGUAGAACUUUAAAGCUCCGGCGGUAAGAGAUGGGCAUGCGUGCCAUUAGCUAGUUGGUGAGGUAACGGCUCACCAAGGCAACGAUGGCUAGGGGUUCUGAGAGGAUUAUCCCCCACACGGGUACUGAGACACGGACCCGACUCCUACGGGAGGCAGCAGUAAGGAAUAUUGGACAAUGGGCGAAAGCCUGAUCCAGCCAUGCCGCGUGAAGGAUGAAGGCGCUCAGCGUUGUAAACUUCUUUUGGAUGGGAACAAUAACCACGACUUGUCGUGACUUGAGGGUACCAUCAGAAUAAGCACCGGCUAACUCCGUGCCAGCAGCCGCGGUG
rnacentral:rRNA from 1 species